UUCCGGUUGAUCCCGCCGGAGGUCAUUGCUAUUGGAGUCCGAUUUAGCCAUGCUAGUCGCACGAGUUCAGACUCGUGGCGAAUAGCUCAGUAACACGUGGCCAAACUACCCUAUGGAUCGGCAUAACCUCGGGAAACUGAGGACAAUUCCGAAUACNGCUCGAUGCCUGGAACUGGCUCGAGCCCGAAACGCUACGGCGCCAUAGGAUGUGGCUGCGGCCGAUUAGGUAGACGGUGGGGUAACGGCCCACCGUGCCGAUAAUCGGUACGGGUCAUGAGAGUGAGAGCCCGGAGACGGUAUCUGAGACAAGAUACCGGGCCCUACGGGGCGCAGCAGGCGCGAAACCUUUACACUGCACGACAGUGCGAUAAGGGGACUCCAAGUGCGAGGGCAUACAGUCCUCGCUUUUCACUACCGUAAGGUGGUAGUGGAAUAAGUGCUGGGCAAGACCGAUGCCAGCCGCCGCGGUAAUACCGGCAGCACGAGUGAUGACCGCUAUUAUUGGGCCUAAAGCGUCCGUAGCCGGCCGAACAAGUCCGUCGGGAAAUCCGCACGCCUAACGUGUGGGCGUCCGGCGGAAACUGUUCGGCUUGGGACCGGAAGACUCGAGGGGUACGUCCGGGGUAGGAGUGAAAUCCCGUAAUCCUGGACGGACCACCGGUGGCGAAAGCGCCUCGAGAGGACGGAUCCGACGGUGAGGGACGAAAGCUAGGGUCACGAACCGGAUUAGAUACCCGGGUAGUCCUAGCCGUAAACGAUGUCUGCUAGGUGUGGCACAGGCUACGAGCCUGUGCUGUGCCGUANGGAAGCCGUGAGGCAAACCGCCUGGGNAAGUACGUCCGCAAGGAUGAAACUUNAAAGGAAUUNGGCGGGGGAGCACUACAACCGGAAGGAGCCUGCGGUUUNAAUUGGAAUUCAACNCCCGGGAANGGCGAAUUUCCANANNUGGAUAUCAAGCU
rnacentral:rRNA from 1 species